rnacentral:rRNA from 1 species
GACGAACGCUGGCGGCGUGCCUAAUACAUGCAAGUCGAACGAGAGCGACCGGUGCUUGCACUGGUCAAUCUAGUGGCGAACGGGUGAGUAACACGUGGGUAACCUGCCCAUCAGAGGGGGAUAACAUUCGGAAACGGAUGCUAAAACCGCAUAGGUUCUUUAGUCGCAUGACUGAAGAAGGAAAAGAGGCUUCGGCUUCUGCUGAUGGAUGGACCCGCGGUGCAUUAGCUAGUUGGUGAGGUAACGGCUCACCAAGGCGAUGAUGCAUAGCCGACCUGAGAGGGUGAUCGGCCACAUUGGGACUGAGACACGGCCCAAACUCCUACGGGAGGCAGCAGUAGGGAAUCUUCCGCAAUGGACGCAAGUCUGACGGAGCAACGCCGCGUGAGUGAAGAAGGAUUUCGGUUCGUAAAACUCUGUUGUUAGAGAAGAACAGCGCAUAGAGUAACUGUUAUGCGUGUGACGGUAUCUAACCA